UACGGGGGGAACAAGCGUUGUUCGGAAUCACUGGGCGUAAAGGGCGCGUAGGCGGCUUUGUAAGUCGGGGGUGAAAGCCUGUGGCUCAACCACAGAAUUGCCUUCGAUACUGCAUGGCUUGAGACCGGAAGAGGUUGGUGGAACUGCGAGUGUAGAGGUGAAAUUCGUAGAUAUUCGCAAGAACACCAGUGGCGAAGGCGGCUGACUGGUCCGGUUCUGACGCUGAGGCGCGAAAGCGUGGGGAGCAAACAGG
rnacentral:rRNA from 1 species